UGGAGGGCAAGUCUGGUGCCAGCAGCCGCGGUAAUUCCAGCUCCAAUAGUGUAUAUUAAAAUUGUUGCAGUUAAAAAGCUCGUAGUUGAAUUUCUGCUGCAUUACAUAUCUCUUGUUUGAGUUUGUUUUUGUGGCUUAUUUCGGUUUGAUUUUUUCUUUCCGGAUGAUUACUUUGAGAAAAUUAGAGUGCUCAAAGCAGGCUUUUGCCUUGAAUAGUUUAGCAUGGAAUAAUAAAGUAGGACUUUGGUUCUAUUUUGUUGGUUUUAGGUACCAAAGUAAUGGUUAAUAGGAACAGUUGGGGGCAUUCGUAUUUAACUGUCAGAGGUGAAAUUCUUAGAUUUGUUAAAGACGAACUACUGCGAAAGCAUUUGCCAAGGAUGUUUUCAUUAAUCAAGAAC
rnacentral:rRNA from 1 species